rnacentral:rRNA from 1 species
CCUACGGGAGGCAGUAGUGAGGACUAUUGGUCAAUGGGCGUAAGCCUGAACCAGCCAAGUCGCGUGAGGGAUGAAGGUUCUAUGGAUCGUAAACCUCUUUUAUAAGGGAAUAAAGUGUGGGACGUGUCCUAUUUUGUAUGUACCUUAUGAAUAAGGAACGGCUGACUCCGUGCCAGCAGCCGCGGUAAUACGGAGGAUCCGAGCGUUAUCCGGAUUUAUUGGGUUUAAAGGGUGCGUAGGCGGCCUUUAAGUCAGCGGUGAAAGUCUGUGGCUCAACCAUAGAAUUGCCGUUGAAACUGGGGGGCUUGAGUAUGUUUGAGGCAGGCGGAAGGCGUGGUGUAGCGGUGAAAUGCGUAGAGAUCACGCAGAACCCCGAUGGCGAAGGCAGCCUGCCAAGCCAUGACUGACGCUGAUGCACGAAAGCGUGGGGAUCAAACAGGAUUAGAUACCCGGGUAGUC